rnacentral:rRNA from 1 species
GACGAACGCUGGCGGCGCGCCUAACACAUGCAAGUCGAACGAGCGAGAGAGAGCUUGCUUUCUCGAGCGAGUGGCGAACGGGUGAGUAACGCGUGAGGAACCUGCCUCAAAGAGGGGACAACAGUUGGAACGACUGCUAAUACCGCAUAAGCCCACGGCUCGGCAUCGAGCAGAGGGAAAGGAGCAAUCCGCUUUGAGAUGGCCUCGCGUCCGAUUAGCUAGUUGGUGAGGUAACGGCCCACCAAGGCGACGAUCGGUAGCCGGACUGAGAGGUUGAACGGCCACAUUGGGACUGAGACACGGCCCAGACUCCUACGGGAGGCAGCACGUGGGGAAUAUUGCACAAUGGGGGAAACCCUGAUGCAGCGACGCCGCGUGGAGGAAGAAGGUCUUCGGAUUGUAAACUCCUGUUGUUGGGGAAGAUAAUCGACGGUACCCAACAAGGAAGUGACGGCUAACUACGUG